GGAAAAUAUCAUCAUGGUCUAUACGACUAUACCCUGUGCAACAGUGCAAGGUACAUGUACAGAACAAACUAUAGAAGGGGAGACCACAGUACAGUAGGGAAAAUCAGUCCUUACACCCUCACCAAAGUCUCUUGAUCAUGUAGAUGAUUUCUCUUUUUACUUCCCUCUCCUAGAGACAAAGCCAUGUUCAGUAAUAACUUCUCUGCAGUAUUUCACUUGCUACGGUCUUUACUGUAGUGCUUGCUACUGCUUGUUAUGCAACUUUUCUUAUGUUGCUACUGCCUAUUCUUCUAUUUGUUCGCUUGCUACUACAUGUUCUGCACAACUUUUCUAGCAGUAAAGGCAGAGAGCAACGUAUGCAUCCUUGUCCCAGAUCAAUCUUCUUGUCCUGUUCCGCGCCUCCAGCCGUAGGGUAAUGCCCUCACAGAAAUCAGAUUGAAAAACCCACAAGAAGUGGUGGUCGGGCGAGGGGGAGUUGAGUGUUGCUACUUACAACUCAGAAUCCUUCUCCUCACUGGUCCUCCUCAAACCUCAUGAAUCUCAAACAGCCACAACAUUGCAGCUCUGUCGGAGUGGCUUUGUUUUUAUCAGAUUCAGUAAGCUGCAGUUCAGGUUCAGCUUCAGGAAGCAGCAGAAAUCAUUAACUUGGAUUUGAUUUCAUAUGAAUAAUAAGCAUUAGUGCAUUACAGAAAGGGUAUAUGUUUGAUCAGAUUAAAAAAACAUGUCAUAUGUAAAUCAAUGCACACAGGUUGGUGUUUACAAAGUGAAGUCACUUUGGGUGAAAGAAGUGUGAACUACUAAACUCUAAACAGUCAUUAGUACAUAUUUGCAUUCUUAUUUGUAUGAAAGAAAAUUUCACUCUGAUUUCUUUGGGAACUCCUGAACACAUAUGUUGCUACAUAUAGGAGUGUUUCCUUCUAUUUGUUUUCACAUCAAAAUCACCUUCUUGCUCGUCGUCGCUAAUUUUAAAAUGGAAAUUAUCAACCAAGAUAUAAGAGCAGUUACAGUAAUCCACCUGAUCUUGUCCACGGGAUCAAUUCUUGGGAAAUGCAGAUGCAUCUCACGCUCAGAGAUGAAGGUUCUCCUGACAUUGUCAGGAUAGUAUAUGUCCCAGAAGCGGUAUCCUAUGAUCUGUCCUCGUCAAUGGUAAUGGGAACAAAACAUGGAAAGGCCUGUCAGUGGGAAGGGGUGGCAAGGGCCAGCUCGGUGCCCACUUUGCAGCCGUUCGCACCGGUCGUCGCCUUCCCUUUCGGCAGGCUGGCGAUGGUUCCUAAAGGAACGGCAGUGAAUCGGCAUGCGUUGUGUGCUGGAGUGGGGCUGCGCCACAACCUAGAAGACGGUGACAACCAUGGAGUUGCUAGUUGCUGCAAGUGGCCUGGACCGGCGAGACGGAAAAAGUAUGCAUGGAUCAGACAGUCCCACAACAUGAUACUCCCUCCAUUCCAUAAUGUAGUGCCUAUAGAUUUUUAUGAAAGUCAAACUUUGCCAACUUUGACCAAGUGUAUAGAGAAAAUUGUCUACAUCUACAACAUCAAACAUAUACAUUCUGAAAAUAUAACUCGCGAUGUAUCCAGUGAUGUCCAUUUGGUAUUCUAGAUGUACAUACUUUUCCCUAUAGAUAUGGUCAAAGUUUAUAAUGUUUGACUUUUGCAAAAAUCUAUAGGCACUACAUUAUGGAACGGAGGGAGUAAAUUUGAGUGAGCAUGAACCUCAAUACAAAUAGAAAAGAAAAAACAUGAAAAGGUAAAAUCAUAUCUCCGCUCAAUUUUUUGAUUCCAAUGGAUAGCAAGUAAAUCUGCUUACUUAUGCAAUGAUUUUUCUUAAAAAUUAAUGAAUCAGCAAAUUUAAGCAAGUAAGACCUGAAAAGCCUUCUUUUCUUGUCCCAUCUCGUUUAACUUCCGUCUCAUAAGCAUCUGAAAAUUGUUUCAUCUCAGCGUUCAGUAAUUUAAAUUUGAAAGGGUAUAAUUAAAUUUCCAGAUGGAACAAAGAGCACAAUACCAGAGCACAAUUUUGACUAUUAGAAUCGUAUAUGUCAGUUGUGGUCACCUUUGAACAUGAAGUUACAAUGGAUGGAGGAAUGACGAUUAUUCACAACAUAUAAACAAACUGUUGAGGUCUAGCCAGACAAGUUGUAAAUUCGCAUAUGAACAAUUACAAUAGUACCAUCCUGAAGUCCUUCAUUUAGAUCUUUCAGCUCCAUAUCCAGCUUUUUCCUAAAAGAAUAAGUGUUCUCUUUCCUUUUCUUCAACUUCACCUGAAGAAUCAGAGAAAGUGUCAAGAACACAUGGUAUUGUUUCAAGUAAAUUCACAAUUGAGUGUUCCUACUUCACAAUUUGAACCUAGAUCGUCUAUAACCAUGACCUUAACAGUGCAGGUUGAUCAUGCAGUCCAUUUAUGCAGGAGUGGAGAACUUCUGACGUGUUACAUAGCUUCCAACUGUUGAAUCUUCAAUAUAAAGGUAGUAAGUCCACAUUCUGCUCGGGAAAAAAAAUCCAAGAUCCCAACGGUUGCUGCAACAACAAAAAUGAGUAAAGUGCACUGUAGGUCCUCGAACUAUUUCAGGGGUGUCACAUAGGUCCUCGAACUAUGAAAAUCGUCAUCCAAGUCCUCGAGGUGCAAUAAGUGUGUCAUUUAGUCCAAAAUCUCCCUCACCCCCCCCCCCUAACUGCCAAGCUGCCGCCGUUAACCGUGAACACUAAAUAGUAAACCGUGAACACUAAAAUAGUGUUCUAGUUCAAACAUUAUUUCUGUAUGUGAUGAACAGUAAAAUCAAAAAAUAUAUAAAAAGAUGAAAUUCUUUGGCAUCGAAGAUACAUUGGUGCGUGAACAAUAAAAAUGUUCAUUAAUUCAAAAAAAUGUUCGCAAAUAUGAAAAAGUUAUUCUUGACUUUAGAAAAAUGUUCACAAACAAUAAAUUUUAAAAUAUCUUCGCGAACUAUUAAUAUUGUUCGCGGGUAUGGAAAAAAUGUUCGUGACUUUAAAAAAAUGUUCGCGACUUUAAAACAAUGUUAACAAACUUUUUAUUAAAGUCACGAAUAUUUUUCCCAAAUUCAUCGUUCGUGAACAUUUUUUUGAAGUAGCGAAUAUUUUUUCCAAAUUCAUCUUUCGCGAAUAUUUUUCUAAGGUCACGUAUAUUUUUCCCAAAUUCAUCGUUCGCAAACAUUUUAUUAAAGUCACAAAAAUUUUAUUAAAGUCGCAAAUAUUUUUUGCAAAUUCAUCGUCCGCGAACAUUUUGUAAAGUCAAGAACAUUUUAUUAAAGUCGUGAAUAUUUUCUCCAAAUUCAUUGUCCGCGACCAUUUUUUUAAAGUCGCAAACAUUUCAUUAAAGCCAUGAAUAUUUUUUCCAAAUUCAUUGUUGGCAAACAGUUUUGGAAUUAAUGAACAUUUUACUGUUCAUGCACCAGGUUAUCUUCGAUGCCAAAGAAUUUCAGAUUUUUUAAUAUGUUUUUUUUCUGUUCAUCAUGCAUAGAAAUGAUGUCCAGAACUGUACGCCAUUCACGUUUAACACCGCCAACUGGCCGGUUAGGGCUGGUAGGGGAGAUUUUGGACCUGGAUGACACACUAACUGCACUUUGAGGACCUGGAUAGCGAUUUUCAUAGUUCGAGGACUUAUUUUGUUAUGAUGCACAACAUAUCGAUAUGGUGUGCAUCAUGUUAAACCGAGUCACCAAAUAAAAAGUAACUCUACCAAAUCGACCUAAAACUUUCCUACAUAAACAAUUUCAGGCUAACACGCAACAAAUAGAAAACAGUUAAGAGUGUACAUUUUAGGAUAACAUACCUCUCCUUCCCACUCCAGCAGCAUAGUCCUC
rnacentral:lncRNA from 1 species